rnacentral:rRNA from 1 species
CCUACGGGUGGCAGCAGUGAGGAAUCUUGGUCAAUGGACGAGAGUCUGAACCAGCCACGUAGCGUGAAGGAUGACUGCCCUAUGGGUUGUAAACUUCUUUUAUAUGGGAAUAAAUUGUUCCACGAGUGGGAUUUUGUAUGUACCAUAUGAAUAAGGAUCGGCUAACUCCGUGCCAGCAGCCGCGGUAAUACGGAGGAUCCGAGCGUUAUCCGGAUUUAUUGGGUGUAAAGGUAGCGUAGGUGGAUUGUUAAGUCAGUUGUGAAAGUUGGCGGCUCAACCGUAAAAGUGCAGUUGAAACUGGCAGUCUUGAGUACAGGAGAGGUGGGCGGAAUUCGUGGUGUAGCGGUGAAAUGCUUAGAUAUCGCGAAGAACUCCGAUUGCGAAGGCAGCUCACUGGACUGCAACUGACACUGAGGCUCGAAAGUGUGGGUAGCAAACAGGAUUAGAUACCCGGGUAGUC